GCCUGGUUAGCUCAGUUGGCAGAGCAUGAGACUCUUAAUCUCAGGGCCAUGGGUUUGAGCCCCACAUUGGGUG